GUAUAAACCUUUAUACGGUGAAACUGCGAAUGGCUCAUUAUAUCAGUUAUAAUUUACUUGAUGAUCUCUUUACUACUUGGAUAACCGUGGUAAUUCUAGAGCUAAUACAUGCAAAGAACCCGACUUACGAAGGGUUGUAUUUAUUAGAUAAAAACCAAUGCCUCGUGCUUUUGGUGAGUCAUGAUAACUGCGCGGAUCGCAUGGCCUUGCGCCGGCGACGCUUCAUUCAAAUUUCUGCCCUAUCAACUUUCGAUGGUAGGAUAGAGGCCUACCAUGGUGUUAACGGGUAACGGGGAAUUGGGGUUCGAUUCCGGAGAGGGAGCCUGAGAAAUGGCUACCACUUCCAAGGAAGGCAGCAGGCGCGCAAAUUACCCAAUCCUGAUUCAGGGAGGUAGUGACAGUAAAUAACAAUGCAGGGCCCUCUGGGUCUUGCAAUUGGAAUGAGAACAAUUUAAAUCCCUUAUCGAGUAACAAUUGGAGGGCAAGUCUGGUGCCAGCAGCCGCGGUAAUUCCAGCUCCAAUAGCGUAUAUUAAAGUUGUUGCAGUUAAAAAGCUCGUAGUUGGACCUUGGGCGUGGGGGCCGGGUUGGCCGCAAGGCACGACUCGGAACUCUUGCCUCUUUGGGGGACUCGUUCGUUCUGCGGCGUGGUUACCCGCGUUACAUUGAAGAAAUUAGAGUGUUUAAAGCAGGGGUUUGCUUGAAUACAUCAGCAUGGAAUAACAAGAUAGGACUUUGUUCUACUUGUUGGUUUGAGAACUAUAGUAAUGAUUAAUAGGGCCAGUUGGGGCAUUAGUAUUCAGUAGUCAGAGGUGAAAUUCUUGGAUUACUGAAGACUAACUAGUGCGAAAGCAUUUGCCCAAGGAUGUUUUCAUUAAUCAAGAACGAAAGUUAGGGGAUCGAAGACGAUCAGAUACCGUCGUAGUCUUAACUAUAAACGAUGCCGACUCGGGAUCGGCAGAAGUCGUUUGCGACUCUGUCGGCACCGUGUGAGAAAUCAAAGUUUUUGGGUUCUGGGGGGAGUAUGGUCGCAAGGCUGAAACUUAAAGGAAUUGACGGAAGGGCACCACCAGGAGUGGAGCCUGCGGCUUAAUUUGACUCAACACGGGAAAACUCACCAGGUCCGGACAUAGUAAGGAUUGACAGAUUGAGAGCUCUUUUGAUUCUGUGGGUGGUGGUGCAUGGCCGUUCUUAGUUGGUGGAGUGAUUUGUCUGGUUAAUUCCGAUAACGAACGAGACCUUAACCUGCUAACUAGUUGGCGGUAUGAGAAUACUGUCCGCUUCUUAGAGGGACUGACUAUGUUUAAUAGUGGGAAGUUUGAGGCAAUAACAGGUCUGUGAUGCCCUUAGAUGUUCUGGGCUGCACGCGCGCUACACUGACAGAGCCAGCGAGUAUACCUUGGCCGAGAGGUCUGGGAAAUCUUGUGAAACUCUGUCGUGCUGGGGAUAGAUCAUUGCAAUUAUUGGUCUUGAACGAGGAAUUCCUAGUAAGCGCAUGUCAUCAGCAUGCGUUGAUUACGUCCCUGCCCUUUGUACACACCGCCCGUCGCUACUACCGAUUGAAUGGCUUAGUGAGGCCUUUGGAUCGGUCCUGGAGGUGCAAGCCGAGUGGUGGAAAAAUGGACAAACUUGGUCAACUAGCGGAAGUAAAAGUCGUAACAAGGUUUCCGUAGGUGAACCUGCGGAAGGAUCAUUACAAAUCUAUAAAUAGACCAGCCGUUGGGUCACACCAACAAUUCUCUGCAUACCAUAUCAUAUUUACGCUUGUUUUGUUUGACAGAGUAAUUUAUCCACAAAAAUAGACAACUUUUAACAACGGAUCUCUGGGCUCUUGCAACGAUGAAAAACGCAGCAAAGUGCGAUAUUUAAUGCCAUUUGCAUGAAUCUGUGAGUCAUCGAGUCUUUGAACGCAACUUGCGCCACUUGUGGGAUGUCUGUUUGAGUACCGUAUAACAACUGCAGCAAUGCGAUUUGACUACUACUACAUCAUGGUGGUUUAAAUGAGUGUUUUAUACGCGGGGUGACCUGUAAAGCUAGAGACGCAAGUCUUGUUUACAGUGCCAUCCCAACUCUAUUCUGGUCUCAAAUCAAGCAAGAUUACCCGCUGAACUUAAGCAUAUCAGUAAGCGGAGGAAAAGAAACUAACAAGGAUUCCCCUAGUAAUGGCGAAUGAAGCGGGAAUAGCUCAAAGUUUAAAUCUCAGUGUUCUGCACUGCGAAUUGUAGUCUAAAGAAGGUGAUCUAGGUAGUGGGAGGUGAUCAAGUCCCUUGGGAUAGGGCGCCAGAGAGGGUGAGAGCCCCGUCAAUCACUGCACACUACCAAAGUGAGAGCCUUUCAACGAGUCGAGUUGUUUGGGAAUGCGGCUCACAGUGGGUGGUAAAUCUCAUCUAAGGCUAAAUACUGACAAGAGACCGAUAGCGAACAAGUACCGUGAGGGAAAGAUGAAAAGCACCUUGAAAAGGGAGUUAAACAGUGCGUGAAAUUGUUAAAAGGGAAGCGAUUGAGAUCAGUGUUGGUCAGUCGUUCAAGCCGGUGCUUUGGUGCCGGCAGCGACGUCAGGCCGAGUCAAUGCCAGUUGUGGGCGCUGGAGACGCGCUGCGGGAAGGUGGGGUCACCCUUCGGGGCGGCUCUUUAUAGACUGCAGUGGCCGCAGCGCUUGCGACUGGAAGCGAGGCAACGCGGGCAUUGAUCAGCGGAGUAGGCGGAGUAGACAAUUUACUGACUACCU
rnacentral:rRNA from 1 species